GUCGACGGUGAAGCCCAGCUUGCUGGGUGGAUCAGUGGCGAACGGGUGAGUAACACGUGAGUAACCUGCCCCUGACUCUGGGAUAAGCCUUGGAAACGAGGUCUAAUACCGGAUACGUGACGCUCAGGCAUCUGAUGCGUCUGGAAAGAUUUAUCGGUCAGGGAUGGACUCGCGGCCUAUCAGCUUGUUGGUGGGGUAACGGCCCACCAAGGCGACGACGGGUAGCCGGCCUGAGAGGGCGACCGGCCACACUGGGACUGAGACACGGCCCAGACUCCUACGGGAGGCAGCAGUGGGGAAUAUUGCACAAUGGGCGCAAGCCUGAUGCAGCGACGCCGCGUGAGGGAUGAAGGCCUUCGGGUUGUAAACCUCUUUCAGCAGGGAAGAAGCGCAAGUGACGGUACCUGCAGAAGAAGCGCCGGCUAACUACGUGCCAGCAGCCGCGGUAAUACGUAGGGCGCAAGCGUUGUCCGGAAUUAUUGGGCGUAAAGAGCUCGUAGGCGGUUUGUCGCGUCUGCUGUGAAAACUCGAGGCUCAACCUCGGGCUUGCAGUGGGUACGGGCAGACUAGAGUGCGGUAGGGGAGACUGGAAUUCCUGGUGUAGCGGUGGAAUGCGCAGAUAUCAGGAGGAACACCGAUGGCGAAGGCAGGUCUCUGGGCCGCAACUGACGCUGAGGAGCGAAAGCAUGGGGAGCGAACAGGAUUAGAUACCCUGGUAGUCCAUGCCGUAAACGUUGGGCACUAGGUGUGGGGCUCAUUCCACGAGUUCCGUGCCGCAGCAAACGCAUUAAGUGCCCCGCCUGGGGAGUACGGCCGCAAGGCUAAACUCAAGAAAUUGACGGGGGCCCGCACAAGCGGCGGACAUGCGGAUUAAUUCGAUGCAACGCGAAAACCUUACCAAGGCUUGACAUACACCGGAAACUUCCAGAAUGGUUGCCCCCAAGGUCGGUGUACAGGUGGUGCAUGGUUGUCGUCAGCU
rnacentral:rRNA from 1 species